rnacentral:siRNA from 1 species
AUGGCCCAUUAAUUCUCAGG